CAGCGCCUCAACACGCGCGGCUCGUGAUUGCCGGCUCCAUUCUCUUCGGUGACGGACUUUUACCUUCGUCUCGAAGAUCUACGCUCUCUGCGUCCCUUGCCGAACUGACAGCUAAACCGAGCAGCAUUCUGACAAUCAUGGAAUCCGCACAGAUGAGCACCGGGUCUACUGUCGAAGUCUCCGCAGCAUCCGCACAGAUGAGCGCCGGGUCUACUGUCGAAGGUUCCUCAGUGAAAUCGGAGACGUCAUCAA